UACAGAGGUGGCUAGCGUUGUUCGGAAUUACUGGGCGUAAAGGGCGCGUAGGCGGCUUGGUCAGUCCCGUGUGAAAUCCCUCGGCUCAACUGAGGAACUGCACGGGAAACUGCCUGGCUUGAGUUCGGGAGAGGGAAGCGGAAUUCCGGGUGUAGCGGUGAAAUGCGUAGAUAUCCGGAGGAACACCGGUGGCGAAGGCGGCGCUCUGGAACAUUUCUGACGCUGAGGCUCGAAAGCGUGGGGAGCAAACAGGG
rnacentral:rRNA from 1 species